GGAGCCAGGAUCUCCUCUGAGGAGCCGGGAUCUCCCCCGUGGAAGCGGGAUCUCCCUGCAAAGCCGGGAUCUCCCUGUGGAGCAGCACUGAGGGGAUGAUAGUGGCGCAGGUGGUGUGCCACUGACGUUGAAUUUGUGCCAUUGAAUGUAACCAGACUCCAGGGUUGAAAACAAGGGGAAAGCAAUUAGACAGGUUUUACAGCCAGCUCUUGCAACCAGUGAAUCAACUGGAGAAGGCAGCAGUUGUUUGAGAUUUGUCAUCCCAUUGCCUACGUGUACAGUGCAUGAUCAAGAAAAGGGGACACACCUGUCUCCAGGAAGAGAGAGAGCAAGACCUGACAAGGCUGGUAAAAUUAAGUGAAGGGUGAGGAAGGAACACAGGAGAAGAAAGGAACUCUCACUUGAAAAAAAAUGAAGGUAAAUGUGAGGAAACAAAAAAGAAUAAUUGCAGUUUUUAGAAGUCCUUUGCUGGCCAUCUUUAAGUGUCCCCUAUAAUAAUUUACCUCUAGUUAAGUGUGGAGAUAGGUAGAAGGGAAUGGAGCUACAGAGGAAAAAAAAGAGCAAGAAGUGGAAAAUAAAAGGGUUGCAGAGUCAGGGGCUGCAUCCUCCUGAUUUAGAGGAAUCCUCAUAAACACUCAGCAUUGCUGUGUUAUCAGUGGGACUACACUGAAUAAAGUAGACUGUAAUGCCAUAAAAUGUCUAUCUAAGGCAUAUCUGCACAGACCUAUGAAGCUGCAAAAGCAAGUCAAGUUCUUCAUAAUCCAGCUUCUUAAUU